AGGACGAACGCUGGCGGCGUGCUUAACACAUGCAAGUCGAGCGGUAAGGCCUCUUCGGGGGUACACGAGCGGCGAACGGGUGAGUAACACGUGAGUAAUCUGCCCUUCACUUCGGGAUAAGCUUCGGAAACGGGGUCUAAUACCGGAUACGACACUUUCAGGCAUCUGAUGAGUGUGGAAAGUUUUUUCGGUGGGGGAUGUGCUCGCGGCCUAUCAGCUUGUUGGUGGGGUAAUGGCCUACCAAGGCUUCGACGGUUAGCCGGCCUGAGAGGGUGACCGGCCACACUGGGACUGAGACACGGCCCAGACUUCUACGGGAGCAGCAGUGGGGAAUAUUGGACAAUGGGCGGAAGCCUGAUCCAGCAACGCCGCGUGAGGGAUGACGGCCUUCGGGUUGUAAACCUCUUUCAGUACCGACGAAGCGAGAGUGACGGUAGGUACAGAAGAAGCACCGGCCAACUACGUGCCAGCAGCCGCGGUAAUACGUA
rnacentral:rRNA from 1 species